rnacentral:rRNA from 1 species
GAUGAACGCUGGCGGCGUGCCUAAUACAUGCAAGUCGAGCGAACAGACGAGGAGCUUGCUCCUCUGACGGUAGCGGCGGACGGGUGAGUAACACAUGGAUAACCUACCUAUAAGACUGGGAUAACUUCGGGAAACCGGAUCUAAUACCGGAUAAUAUAUUGAACCGCAUGGUUCAAUAGUGAAAGACGGUUUUGCUGUCACUUAUAGAUGGAUCCGCGCUGCAUUAGCUAGUUGGUAAGGUAACGGCUUACCAAGGCAACGAUGCGUAGCCGACCUGAGAGGGUGAUAGGCCACACUGGAACUGAGACACGGUGCAGACUCCUACGGGAGGCAGCAGUAGGGAAUCUUCCGCAAUGGGCGGAAGACUGACGGAGCAACGCCGCGUGAGUGAGGAAGGUCUUCGGAUCGUAAAGCUCUGUUAUUAGGGAAGAAAAAAAGUCUAAUUAAAUACAGAAGUUCUGACGGUACCCAAUGAGAAAGCCACGGCUAACUACGUG